rnacentral:rRNA from 1 species
GAUGAACGCUGGCGGCGUGCCUAAUACAUGCAAGUCGAGCGAACAGACGAGGAGCUUGCUCCUCUGACGUUAGCGGCGGACGGGGGAGUAACACGUGGAUAACCUACCUAUAAGACUGGGAUAACUUCGGGAAACCGGAGCUAAUACCGGAUAAUAUAUUGAACCGCAUGGUUCAAUAGUGAAAGACGGUUUUGCUGUCACUUAUAGAUGGAUCCGCGCCGCAUUAGCUAGUUGGUAAGGUAACGGCUUACCAAGGCAACGAUGCGUAGCCGACCUGAGAGGGUGAUCGGCCGCACGGGAACUGAGACACGGUCCAGACUCCUACGGGAGGCAGCAGUAGGGAAUCUUCCGCAAUGGGCGAAAGCUUGACGGAGCAACGCCGCGUGAGUGAUGAAGGUCUUCGGAUCGUAAAACUCUGUUAUUAGGGAAGAACAAAUGUGUAAGUAACUAUGCACGUCUUGACGGUACCUAAUCAGAAAGCCACGGCUAACUACGUG